UUUGGGCAACCCCUUUCACUCUCAGUUCACAGUAGAGCUGAUUCAACCUCCAUGUCCAGGUUUCUUUACCUAUAAAAUGGGUAUACUGACCCUACCUCGAAGCAUAAUUUUUUUUUAAUUUUUGAAUUUUAUUUUAUUUAUUUUUUUAUACAGCAGGUUCUUAUUAGAACACAUCUAUGAUUUUAUAAGAUGUGUGAUUUUAUAAAGUCACUUACGUCUCUAUUUCUUUAUCAAGAGGCUAAAAAUACUCUUAUUAAUUCAGAGUUUUCCUAUGAGAGAUAAAGAAAACAGGGCAAUAUGAUUUCUAAAUCACAACUGGUUAUACAAGUGUUAAUUGUAAAGAUAUAACAUCACCUUAUUGUGGUCAUUUUUGUUUCUUUGGGUUUUUUGGGGAAGGUGACCAUGAGAGAUGAAAGGGCUCUGUAAAGAGCUGUUAGAAGGUAGACGUGUCGUCACAAUAAAUGAUACUUUUGAUCUUGGAGAUUAGAUCCUGGAGAGCAAUGCCAGCACCAUGUGAAAGAGAGGUGAAGGAGCUCAUGAGAAAGGUCUAAACAUCUAUGGAGGGAUGAGGAGGUUCUAGAGUUUUCUUCAUCAAAAGUUGAGGACCUGUGUGUUGGACACUGAGCUAGUCCAAUAAUGAACAAAAGCAGUCUCUGAUCUCAUGGAGCUUAUAUUCCAGUGGGAAUAUUCAAACAAUUAAAGAUCCAUAUUAGGUGGUGAGAAAGAAAAUCAAGCAGGUAAGUCUACUGAGAGUGAUGGUGUGGGUGGCCACGCCUUAGCUAGGCUUGACAGAGCAAACUCUUCGGAUAAAACAGGUAAGGAGAGAGUUGAAUGAAGUCAGAGAGCCAUGCAGAUACCAGGGUGAAGGGGCUUCCUUGCAGCAGGAACAGCAAGUGCAAAAAUCCUGAGGCAGCAGCAUGUCUGGUGCUUUGGACAUUGAGGAUGUGUUUUGGUGGGCUGAGAAAAGGUUAAACAGACAGUGCCCUACCCAAGGCCACUGCUCUCCAGCACAUCAUUGUCCCUUCAUCCAGUAGGAGUAAAAGGAAACCGUGAUCAUUGCUCUAAUGAGAGUGCAAAUUGCUGUCUAAUGUGAGCAGGGGCAAAGAACAUGCUUGAAGUUAGAAUGAGAAGCUCUUGUUACCCCAGGUGCUUGACCUGUUUAUCCAGAACAGUCAGCCUGCCUUUGUCUGCCUCAUUUCUUACCCUGAACCCUUUUUUUUGGCCAUCUACCCAGGAUUCUAUACACAAGAAACACCUUAGAAGUCAGGGCUGGGCAGGCAGGAGCCAGGAGAGUGGCUACAAUGACUUCAGCAGUCCUGGUGGACAUCCAGGACGAAGUGACCUGCCCCAUCUGCCUGGAGCUCCUGACAGAACCCCUGAGCAUAGACUGUGGACACAGCUUCUGCCAAGCCUGCAUCACGGGGGAUAGCAAGGAGUUGGGUAUUGGCCAAGAAGAAGAGAGCAGCUGUCCUGUGUGCCAGACCAGCUACCAGCCUGGAAACCUGCGACCCAAUCGGCACCUGGCCAACAUAGCGGACAGGCUCAGGGAGGUGGUGUUGGGCUUGGGGAAGCAGCUGAAGGUGGUUCUUUGUGCACACCAUGGAGAGAAACUCCAGCUCUUCUGUAAGGAGGAUGGGAAGCUCAUUUGCUGGCUGUGCGAGAGGUCCCAGGAGCACCGUGGUCACCACACGUUCCUCAUGGAAGAGGUGGCCCAGGAGUACCAGGAGAAGUUCCAGGAGUCUCUGAAGAAGCUGAGGCAAGAGCAGCAGGAAGCUGAGAAACUAACAGCUGUUAUCAGAGAGAAGAGGGCAUCCUGGAAGAAUCAGAUGGAACCUGAGAGACACAGGAUCCAGAAGCAGUUUGAUCAGUUGAGGAGCAUCCUGGACAGAGAGGAGCAGCGGCAGCUGAAGAAGCUGGAGGAGGAGGAGAGGAAGGGGCUGAACAUCAUCGCAGAAGCUGAGGGUGAGCUGAUGCAGCAGAGCCAGUCCCUGAGAGAGCUCAUCUCAGACCUGGAGCGCCGGUGUCAGGGGUCAACAACGGAGCUGCUGCAGGUAGGAAUCGCAAAGGAGCCCAAGGUCUGACAGUCAAGGCAAAGAGAGACUAACUUUCCUUCCUUUCUGAUGUGGGACUCCUUAUCUUGGUGGGGGAAGGAAAAAAAUUUCCUUUGACCCUGUAGUGCCUCUUCCCUAUUAAACAGUUCAAAGUUCAUGGAUAAAGCAUAGGAUAAUUAAAAGUACAAAUGCUAAAGGAAUGUCUCAUUUUUAUUUCUUAUGUAUAAAGGAUAGUCCAAAAGUUCAUUUGAUACAAUGUAAAAGAUCGAGUGAUGUUUUACUGCAGCAUUUCUCAAUCUUGGUACUAUUGACCUUUUGGGCUAGAGGAUUCUGUGCUGUGAGGGGCUGCCCUGUGCAUUGUAGGAUGUUCAGCAGCAUCCCUGGCCUCUACCCUCUAGAUGCCAGUAGCAUCCAACUAGCUGUGACAACAAAAAAACCCUCCAGACAUUGCCAAAUGACCCUGGGGAGAACUUAUCCUCCCUCCCCCUGUUGAGAAUCACUGGCCAUUAGGUACCCGUUGUCUCUGAUGCCGUGUUGGGAUUGGUCAGGUGCUUUUCACUCAGCUUAGUCACAGGCAAACACAUACCAAACUCAAGUACUUAGAGAAUUUUUAUGUAAUUACCAGUCCUUCUUUGCUUCACUUUCUUCUCUAGGGCAGAAUCAUUGAACAUGUUGUAAUAGAAGUUUGAACAGGAUUUUUGAGGCACAGACAAUGAGCUCUGGUCUGUGUGUGUAUGUGGAUUGGGUGGAUGCAAGCUGUCAAAUCCAAAGAGAUUUGAUGGAGAGAUUUGAACUGAGGUUGAAAUCUGAGCAGCUGUUGGCUUCAUAGAGUGAAUAGUGUGACUAUUAAGUUGAAGCAGGAUGUACCUUGUGACAUUCUGGAACCUUCAGGCUCUUCCUUAUUUUCUGUUUGCUUUCUUGCUUUCCUCUUGCUCCCUUUCCUGGUGGAAUAAUAAUUUCUUUACUUAUACUUGGGCCCUAGUAUUGGGGUCAUGGGGUAGUUAUUUUCCACCUGUUGGAGAUUUUCCUCAUUCACUGCUUCUGGUUUCACAACUUCAGUUUAUUCUUCUUGCUUUUUUCUUCAUCUUUGAUGUUGGGUUGCCUUAAUGCUUGCUCCUUCCCCCACUUGUUCUAGCCCCUUUACAAGUCUCUUCAAACUGGAAAAAUUGCUUCGUAAGUGCAAAUGGAUCAUCAAUUUAUGUAAUGGCUAGUCCAGGCACCUGUCUAGACUCUUCUACCCACUAGUUAGUAUGACUGCCCAAUGGUCAUUUUAACUAGAGUGUUAUCUCACAGUCAAUUUUUCCAGAACUUGCCCAUCACAGACACUUCCUCCUUCUCUUUUCCAUGUUUGUUUGACAUGGUUACCCAUUAAGAUUUGACAGCUGGAUGCAAGCCUGCAGCUUUCCAGUUUCAAAAUGUGAACCCUGAGAGUAAAGCUAAGAGGAAGAGGCAUGAAGUAUCACCCUGAUUUGAUCAUUUGAGUUCCUUAUUACAAGUAUGCCUUAAAAUUGAUACAAUCCUGGAUCCACCUCUACCACUUUACAUAUGCAAGCCAGUUUGAGUUGUAUUUUUGUCAAAUACAACCAAAAAUAGCUCCAAUACCAUGAAAGUAGUUAUUCCUAUGUUACACAGAUCAAACCAUUGGCCUUUCCUUCUGCUGCAUUGAGGUGUAUAGAGCAGAAGUUAGGAAGACCAAUUCGGAGGCCAUGAGACAAUUCUACUCAAAUGAGGCAGGCAGUGGCAGUGAUGAUGAUAAAGAGCAGUAAGGGUGUGAAAUGCACUGGCUUGGUCUAAGAUGGAAUGUCAGGUAGUUUUUAGGACAGUACUUUGUCUACAUUUGGUGACUGGAUGCUGGGAUCAUUGAGGAAGAUGGAAGAUAACAGAAGAGACCUCAUGGUUGCAGGAAAGGAUGUGAGUGAUGUCGCGAAAAGAAUUUCUUUCAUCAAGGUGACCCCUAAAGUAGCCCACAUACCUGGUACCUUGAAGCGCCUCACGAACACAUGACCUAUGGAGCGUGUUGUCCCU